CCCUUAGAUGUUCUGGGCCGCACGCGCGCUACACUGACGGAUUCAACGAGCUUACAACCUUGGCCGAAAGGUCUGGGUAAUCUCCAAAAUCCGUCGUGAUGGGGAUAGAUUAUUGCAAUUAUUAAUCUUCAACGAGGAAUGCCUAGUAAGCGCAAGUCAUCAACUUGCGUUGAUUACGUCCCUGCCCUUUGUACACACCGCCCGUCGCUCCUACCGAUUGAAUGGUCCGGUGAAGCGUUUGGACUAUGGUUUUCUGAUGGUCCGCCGUUGGAUUACCGUGGGAAGUUCGUUAAACCUUAUCAUUUAGAGGAAGGAGAAGUCGUAACA
rnacentral:rRNA from 1 species